AUUGAACGCUGGCGGCAUGCCUUACACAUGCAAGUCGAACGGCAACGCGGGCUUCGGCCUGGCGGCGAGUGGCGGACGGGUGAGUAAUGCAUCGGAACGUGCCCAGGAGUGGGGGAUAACGUAGCGAAAGUUACGCUAAUACCGCAUACGUACUGAGGUAGAAAGCGGGGGAUCGAAAGACCUCGCGCUCAUGGAGCGGCCGAUGUCGGAUUAGCUAGUUGGUGAGGUAAAAGCUCACCAAGGCGACGAUCCGUAGCUGGUCUGAGAGGACGACCAGCCACACUGGGACUGAGACACGGCCCAGACUCCUACGGGAGGCAGCAGUGGGGAAUCUUGGACAAUGGGGGAAACCCUGAUCCAGCAAUGCCGCGUGUGGGAUGAAGGCCCUCGGGCUGUAAACCACUUUUGGCAGGAAAGAAAUCGCCUGUGCUAAUACCAUGGGCGGAUGACGGUACCUGCAGAAUAAGCACCGGCUAACUACGUGCCAGCAGCCGCCGUAA
rnacentral:rRNA from 1 species